rnacentral:rRNA from 1 species
AAACCUAAAGAAUUUGGCGGUAUUUUAGUCUAUUCAGAGGAAUCUGUCCCAUUAUCGAUAGUCCGCGAUUAAAUUUUACUUUAAUUUGUUUUCAGUAUGUAUACCGCCGUUAUUAGUUUAUUUUUUAAGAAUUAAUUUACUUAUUUCUUAAUUUUGAUAUAUUUCAGGUCAAGGUGCAGCUAAUAUUAAAGGGGAGGUGGAUUACAAUAUUAUUUGAAUAUACGGAAUUUAAUUUGAAAUAUUUUUUGAAGGUGGAUUUGUUAGUAAUUUUGUUUAUGGUAGCUUUUUGAUUUUGGCUCUAAAAUAAGUACACAUCGCCCGUCGCUCUA